rnacentral:rRNA from 1 species
GACCAGCCACACUGGGACUGAGACACGGCCCAGACUCCUACGGGAGGCAGCAGUGGGGAAUUUUGGACAAUGGGCGCAAGCCUGAUCCAGCCAUGCCGCGUGCAGGAUGAAGGCCUUCGGGUUGUAAACUGCUUUUGUACGGAACGAAAAGCCUUCUUCUAAUAAAGGGGGGUCAUGACGGUACCGUAAGAAUAAGCACCGGCUAACUACGUGCCAGCAGCCGCGGUAAUACGUAGGGUGCAAGCGUUAAUCGGAAUUACUGGGCGUAAAGCGUGCGCAGGCGGUGAUGUAAGACAGAUGUGAAAUCCCCGGGCUCAACCUGGGAACUGCAUUUGUGACUGCAUCGCUGGAGUACGGCAG